rnacentral:rRNA from 1 species
UGGGGAAUAUUGCACAAUGGGGGAAACCCUGAUGCAGCGACGCCGCGUGAGCGAAGAAGGCUUUCGAAUCGUAAAGCUCUGUCCUAUGAGAAGAUAAUGACGGUAUCAUAGGAGGAAGCCCCGGCUAAAUACGUGCCAGCAGCCGCGGUAAUACGUAUGGGGCGAGCGUUGUCCGGAAUUAUUGGGCGUAAAGGGUACGUAGGCGGUCUAUUAAGUCAGGUGUGAAAGCGUGAGGCUUAACCUCAUUAAGCACUUGAAACUGAUAGACUUGAGUGAAGGAGAGGAAAGUGGAAUUCCUAGUGUAGCGAUGAAAUGCGUAGAUAUUAGGAGGAAUACCGGUGGCGAAGGCGACUUUCUGGACUUUUACUGACGCUCAGGUACGAAAGCGUGGGGAGCAAACAGG